AGACUCAUUUCUUGCAUCAUUUCUUUCAUGCAGAUCCCUUAACCCUUUUUUACUUGUCUUGUUCCUCAGUACAAUGCUGGUGUUAACCCUUCAUGAUGACAAUAAAAGGACAUGUCCCAUGCUCUUACUACAAUGCAUGGGCAGGAAGAAAUUCCUGCACAUGGGUUUGUACCAGGCCUCCUGGGAACAUCAGAUGGAGCCCUGCAGUUCAUGGCCUACAAGAAACUGAAAUGGACUUUACAAGCAUUUCCAUCGACCCAGUGACACAAAAUCGGAAAGAAGAGUUCCAUGGAGUCUACUAGAGCAAUGUCUUCAGCAUUAUCCCAGUGACCUCCGCCUGCGGAAUCACCUUAGUAGCUUCAAUUCUACUUUCAUUUUCCUGGAAGAGACCACAGUGCAGAAAUUAUGCAAUAAAAGGAAUAGAAAACCCUAGACAA